rnacentral:rRNA from 1 species
UACGUAGGUGGCAAGCGUUAUCCGGAUUUACUGGGCGUAAAGAGAGCGCUGGCGGUCUUUUAAGUCGGAUGUGAAAUCUCUCGGCUUAACCGGGAUGGGUCAUUCGAUACUGGGAGACUUGAGAGCAACAGGGGGAGGUGGAAUUCCCGGUGUAGUGGUGAAAUGCGUAGAUAUCGGGAGGAACACCAGUGGCGAAAGCGGCCUCCUGGGUUGUUUCUGACGCUUAUGCUCGAAAGUGUGGGGAG